UACAGAGGGGGCGAGCGUUAUUCGGAAUUAUUGGGCGUAAAGGGCGCGUAGGCGGUGCGGUAAGUCACCUGUGAAACCUCUAGGCUCAACCUAGAGCCUGCAGGCGAAACUGCCGUGCUUGAGGGUGGGAGAGGUGCGUGGAAUUCCCGGUGUAGCGGUGAAAUGCGUAGAUAUCGUUUGGAACGCCAACGGUGAAAACAGACAGCUGGGAGUGUGCUGACGCUGAGACACGAAAGCCAGGGGAGCGAACGGG
rnacentral:rRNA from 1 species